UACGGGGGGAGCAAGCGUUGUUCGGAUUUACUGGGCGUAAAGGGCGCGUAGGCGGCCACCGCAAGUCGACUGUGAAAUCUCCGGGCUUAACCCGGAAAGGUCAGCCGAUACUGCGGGGCUAGAGUGCAGAAGGGGCAACUGGAAUUCUCGGUGUAGCGGUGAAAUGCGUAGAUGUCGAGAGGAACACCUGCGGCGAGGACGGGUUGCUGGGCCGACACUGACGCUGAGUGCGCGAAAGCCAGGGGAGCAAACGGG
rnacentral:rRNA from 1 species